UUGGUUAAAGUUAAAUAAAAAGAAACAUUAUAAAAAUUUCGAAGUGAUAUUUAUAUGUUACUAGUUGUAUACUAUUACGAUAUAUACAGAUAUGUGCUAUUUAUUUCGCAAUUCGCAAUAGUUAUACCAUUUUGCUAUUUUGAUAGAUUUAUAAGGGUCUGAAUCGACCAACCAACUUUGAAUAUACUUAUUACCUUUGUAUCAACUAG
rnacentral:lncRNA from 1 species